UACAUGGGGUGCAAACGUUGCUCGGAAUUAUUGGGCGUAAAGCGCACGUAGGCGGAUCGUUAAGUCGGGGGUGAAAUCCUGGAGCUCAACUCCAGAACUGCCUUCGAUACUGGCGAUCUAGAGUCCGGAAGAGGUGAGUGGAACUCCUAGUGUAGAGGUGGAAUUCGUAGAUAUUAGGAAGAACACCAGUGGCGAAGGCGGCUCACUGGACCGGUAUUGACGCUGAGGUGCGAAAGCGUGGGGAGCAAACAGG
rnacentral:rRNA from 1 species